CGUGAUGUCUGAGUUAUGAUACUUAGGCCAUGAUCCUGUCACCUUAGGUCGAUCGGUACCUCAAGUUGAGAAUCAAAGAAAAGCUGAUGAAUCAGCUUUGAGAUUGAUGAUUGAUUUUAGUUCCUAAACUUGUCUAGGUCACACCCCGCAAGGGUUACUCCUGGGCCAUUAGCUCAGGUGGUUAGAGCGCACCCCUGAUAAGGGUGAGGUCCCUGGCUCAGUCGAGGAUGGUCCAUUCGUGUUGGGGUUUAGCUCAGUUGGUAGAGCGCCUGCUUUGCAAGCAGGAUGUCAGCGGUUCGAGUCGCUAACCUCACUGACGAAUCUUCUGACAACGAGCCAAUGGUGAGAACCGUUGUGUGAUGUGAUUUAGGAUUUAAGUUUGCUGGCAGACCCUAGCUUCUUAUCAUUCCAGGCCUCAAUUCAUUGAGGUUAGGUUGAUAGGACGCUGGGCUCACUGUAAUUCGCAAGAAUUGCAGAGAUGUUCAGCAGAACCUUGACAACUGCAUAGGUAAGUCUGGAAAGAAUAAAGCAUCUCAUGGAUGCAUGAUUCUUUUGAGUCAGCUAAUGCAAUCUGCGCCAGUAGAGAGCUGAGGCUGAUCAACGAGAAUGAUGUUUGAUUCUUGAGUCAAGAGCCGAGACUCUAUAGCG
rnacentral:tRNA from 1 species